CACCCCAUGAACUCCGCGCUCCUCUCGGCUGUGGUUGGACGGGGACAGAGGCAUGGACACGGCUUGGCACUGUUCUGUUGAUGUUCUGUUUGUGCUGCCAUAGAAACCUGAGCUCCCGCUGCCGAGUGACACGUGUAACUGGGCUCCCUGUGGCUGGGAUAAGUGCUCCUGGCCUGGUGCAACAGAGAGAAGGUUCCCAGGGUUCAGCUGCGAUGAGAAGCAUCGUGACAUAGGUGAGUUUUCCAGACAUGAGGAGCACCAAGAAAAGCCUCUGGCUCUUGAAGGAGAAAUGCCCCCACAGAUUGCUCUGCAAGAAGACCUGCCAGCUCAGCUCUCAUCUUGGCAGACAGGCUGAUGGAGAAGGACUCAUUCAGGGACAAUUGACCCAGGAACAUGAGGUUGCAACUUCGUGAUUUUACAUUAAGCUCUUAAGGCACCGUUCCAGCCGUUUUCCUGGCGCUUGCUUUGUGGCAAAACUACAGCUGCUGUGACUGCAUGGGAACCAAUCCAGCUGAAAAAUACCCUGCCCGAGGAAAAAAUCCUUUCAUUUUGCUCACCGUGAUGGGCUGAGGAAGAGAGAGACGCGUGGGAUGGUGGGAUUGCCUCUGUCAGUACCAGUCUCUGCUUAGGGAGGUGGCGAAGCUGCUGCUUUGUGGUGGUAGAACUGGUGAUCCCGUGCACCCUGCACACACAGUUCCUUCGGAGGGGUAUGUGGGGCAGAACAAGAAGGAUUCCUAAAGUCAUGGGUCAGGC
rnacentral:lncRNA from 1 species